GUCUUCAGAUCCUCUUUAGCAGUGUUAUCUUCAGCUUUAGAAACCUCCACAUGGCGCUUGCAAUAUUUGAUGACCUUGGCUAAGAUCUUGCCAGUAACGUUGGGUACAGGAAUGGUGUUGUUAGCGCAGUCAUCCUCAAUCAUAUGUUUAAUCAUCUCCGAUUCUAGCGCCACCGUCUCAUCGACCUCAAAACUCUCUCCGUUGAAGCUCCUCAAAAUGAUCAUCUUUGAAGGAGACUUGUGAACCAAUUAACAAACCCUAAUUGUAGGCUCACAAUGCCUUCAGGAUCCAAAUCAGCAUGACACCAAGAGAGCAUACUCUCAGAAACUGUCACUGUUGGAUCCAUUGCAUUCCUUCAUAUUUCUAUAUACAGGUUUUGCAUAGAGGUGAUCUAUGCCAAGAAUAUAGCGAUCAAUCAUUCCAGCAGAAUUACAUGCGGG
rnacentral:misc_RNA from 1 species